rnacentral:rRNA from 1 species
GACGAACGCUGGCGGCGUGCUUAACACAUGCAAGUCGAACGGAAAGGCCCUGCUUUUGUGGGGUGCUCGAGUGGCGAACGGGUGCGUAACACGUGAGUAACCUGCCCUUGACUUUGGGAUAACUUCAGGAAACUGGGGCUAAUACCGGAUAGGAGCUCCUGCUGCAUGGUGGGGGUUGGAACGUUUCGGCGGUUGGGGAUGGACUCGCGGCUUAUCAGCUUGUUGGUGGGGUAGUGGCUUACCCAGGCUUUGACGGGUAGCCGGCCUGAGAGGGUGACCGGCCACAAUGGGACUGAGAUACGGCGCAGACUCGUACGGGAGGCAGCAGGGGGGAAUAUUGCACAAUGGGCGGAAGCCUGAUGCAGCAACGCCGCGUGCGGGAUGACGGCCUUCGGGUUGUAAACCGCUUUCGCCUGUGACGAAGCGUGAGUGACGGUAAUGGGUAAAGAAGCACCGGCUAACUACGUG